rnacentral:tRNA from 1 species
CAUUAAGUAGCUAACAGGAAAGCGUUAGCCCUUUAAGCUAAUAUCGGUGCCCACCAACCACCCUUAGUGA